rnacentral:tRNA from 1 species
GAGGGUAUAGCUCAGUAGUAGAGUGUAUGCUUAGUUUGCACGAGGUCUUGGGUUCAAUCCCCAGUACCGCCA